AUGACAUCAACUGAGGAGUAGAACAAUGUCACAAUAGCAGCGACACAAUUGCAUUUGUCAGGCUUAGCACUCACCCACAGCAUUGUGGAAACCCCAGCUUAUGCUCAAAUUCCUUCUGACUCAUCCAGGAAUUCCCCAGGGAAUGUUCACGUGGUCCUAACAAGAUUCAGAUGAAUGCUGGGAAAUGCAGAGGAUGCAGGGGAAUACAGAGGAAGGCUGGGAAACAGUCAUGUGGUCUUAACAAGAUGCAGAGACCCAGGCUAAGGACAAUAAGAGCACCUGAGAAUUCUGUGAGAUUCAGAGAAGGUAAGCAAAUUGCCCAGGCCAACGCAACCAGUAAAUUGCCAAAUAGGAUUCAGCCCAAGUGUGUCUGACCACAUGGACUGUGCCUUACGUGAUCAAUAUUUGAUGACAGUGUUUCCCC